UACAGAGGAUGCAAGCGUUAUCCGGAAUGAUUGGGCGUAAAGCGUCUGUAGGUGGCUUUUUAAGUCCGCCGUCAAAUCCCAGGGCUCAACUCUGGACAGGCGGUGGAAACUACCAAGCUGGAGUACGGUAGGGGCAGAGGGAAUUUCCGGUGGAGCGGUGAAAUGCGUAGAGAUCGGGAAGAACACCAACGGCGAAAGCGCUCUGCUGGGCCGACACUGACGCUGAGAGACGAAAGCUAGGGGAGCGAAUGGG
rnacentral:rRNA from 1 species